GUGCCAGCAGCCGCGGUAAUACGUAGGGUGCGAGCGUUGUCCGGAUUUAUUGGGCGUAAAGGGCUCGUAGGUGGUUGAUCGCGUCGGAAGUGUAAUCUUGGGGCUUAACCCUGAGCGUGCUUUCGAUACGGGUUGACUUGAGGAAGGUAGGGGGGAAUGGAAUUCCUGGUGGAGCGGUGGAAUGCGCAGAUAUCAGGAGGAACACCAGUGGCGAAGGCGGUUCUCUGAGCCUUUCCUGACGCUGAGGAGCGAAAGCGUGGGGAGCGAACAGGCUUAGAUACCCUGGUAGUCCACGCUGUAAACGGUGGGUACUAGGUGUGGGGUCCAUUCCACGGGUUCCGCGCCGUAGCUAACGCUUUAAGUACCCCGCCUGGGGAGUACGGCCGCAAGGCUAAAACUCAAAGGAAUUGACGGGGCCCCGCACAAGCGGCGGAGCAUGCGGAUUAAUUCGAUGCAACGCGUAGAACCUUACCUGGGUUUGACAUGGAUCGGGAGUGCUCAGAGAUGGGUGUGCCUCUUUUGGGGUCGGUUCACAGGUGGUGCAUGGCUGUCGUCAGCUCGUGUCGUGAGAUGUUGGGUUAAGUCCCGCAACGAGCGCAACCCUUGUUCACUGUUGCCAGCACGUUAUGGUGGGGACUCAGUGAGACCGCCGGGGUCAACUCGGAGGAAGGUGGGGAUGACGUCAAGUCAUCAUGCUCUCUUAUGUCCAGGGCUUCACGCAUGCUACAAUGGCUGGUACAGAGAGUGCGAGCUGUGAGGUGAGCGAAUCUCGAAGCGUCUCAGUCGAUGCGUCUGCACUCGACCUCAUGAAGUCGAGUCGCUAGUAUCGCAGAUCAGCACCGUGCGUGAUACGUUCGGGCUGGCACACGGCCGGUCCAGCCGAUCGGUAACUGCAG
rnacentral:rRNA from 1 species